UGCCUUCAGCGUCGACGGUCCAGAGGUCUCUUAAUAUACGAGCGUGUGCUGUUUAAUGAAAGCCGUGUGCGAUGCCUCCCAUGCUGUGAUUGCUCAGCAGGACUCCAGGGCUUACCUAUCAUGCUCCAAAGCCUGUUGUUCUUGGGAAAUCAAUAUCUGAAAGGUGCAAGGAUUUUACCCAGAGCUUCAUGCAUCGCUGGCUACUCAUUCAGCAUGUGUUUGACCAGAUUCAAUUGGAAGCACAUGGUUGCUGAGAAAUGAGCUGGGAGAAGUGACUCCUUUAACCUCUAAAGUUUCUGAAAGGAAGAAAAAGCAGGAAAGUUGGAUCUGGUUGGCAUGAGGAGAUAGCGUGUGUGUGGGAUUGGUGUGGUGGGUGAAAUUGGGGAGGUGUUGGUCAGUCAAGUGGGAAAAGGCCUCAGUUUUUCAUUUCAUCAAAUAAUAAAACCCCCAAGCCCUUGUGGCCUUUAUCUGUGCUGUGAUCUAAGCACAUAUAAGGCUGAAACUCAAUGCUGAGAAAGCAGCUGAAGGAAGUGAUGAUUACUACAGAAAGUCCAGGCAAAGUAAUGAGAAAGUAGCGCAGGAUAACAUCAAAACCAAUUAAGUCCAUCCAGGUUCAAUUCAACCUUGAACAUUUUCAACCUGGUUUCUUCCAUCUAUUUUGAAUCCUGUCUAAAUGUACUGAUUAAUCUGCUUUAAAAUACAGGGAAUAAUUCGCAGAGAAUGAAGUGUGCCCGUUGAUAGUUUAUUUGUAUGCUGUGCAUUGUUUUAGUGCCCAAUUCACUAAAGGAAUUAUGCAAAUCUAGGCAACAAAGCAAACAUGCUUCCAAAAAUGUGUAUUUUUAAUUACUGUUGCACAGCUGUGGAGAAUGCAGCAGACUAUUACAAUCUGGCAUACUUUACUGGAACUGUAGCACCCUUCCACCACUUUCACCACUAAAAUUUGUGUUUUCAAGGCACUUAUAGGCGUAUGCCUGAUUAUUGCACUCUUCUCCAUCAUUUGAUCUUUAUUUGAUGAAUUACUGCUGCCAUAAAAUGCAAAUAAACAUCUCUUUUUAAGAAAAUUCUGUUUACCUCCUGCUGUCUGUGGGUGGUAAUAGUGCUGCGUUUUGUAAAUAAGCCACAAUCUAUAAAUAAUAAACCUAAUUUACAUAAAAAGACUUCCACUGAUUUUACCGCCGAUACUGUCUGGUUAAACUAGAUAGCGUAAAUUCGCCCCACGCUGUUUAGUCUCAUCUGAUUCUGAAUGCUAUCUUACAAACCCAGGACUUGCGAUGUUAUGGCGAUAACUAAUGUGGAUUUUUGUCAGUUAUAUGAGCUGGAGGAUGACUCAAAGUGAGCAUGUGAUAAAGAGAUGCUCUGACAAAUGCGUGACACACAUGCAGUGGAUUCAUACCAAGUUAUGCUCUAUUUUCAGUAAAUGACACCUUUAAUUGAUGCAGCGACUGGGGACUCAUGUACCGCAAAGUCAGAUGGGUGUGAAAAUACAGAGGGACUGAGAAAGAGGGAGAAGUAUUGCUAAUGCUUUCUCUAAGCAUGAAAAAUGAGACCGAGUCUGUCUCAACCAUAUUAUCCCUCUCCCAAAGUGCUUUGCAGACAGCCAUUCAUCUUUUUGCAUCACACCCCCUUUAUCUGUCACUCCAGUCUCAUCUCUACACCUCUCAUCCUGCUUCACUAUCCUUCUCCACCUGAAUAUAAUUUGCUGAAACUUUACCAAAGCAACUCAGGGCUUGUAACUCAUCUUCAUUGGCUCAGACCGCCUGACACUGACCGUCAUGUCACACAUCUCCAUUGUCUGAUCAUCACCGUUACCCUCAGCUUCAUAAUAGCUCUGGCAGACCUGUUACAGAUGUAGUGUUUAAUGACAAACAGUAAUCAGGAGGAAUUUGGUGAUGCAUUUAAUCUGUGGUUUUACAGCUUUGUCCAUGGAUGAUUUUAUCCCCUGAGGCAGAUUCUUAUGAGCUCACUUACUCAGCCUGACAGAAAGGGAUGUUGGAACAGCAUGAUGAAAAAAGCACCGCACUGGGAAAGAGGGGGAGAAAAAAAUCACAAUUCGGCUUUGUAUCUAAACGACAAUCACUGGGCAAACUUUUCUUUGAUGGCAACUCAUUACGUUUUCACGUUUAAGUUCAAUGAAUGAAUAAAAAUGAACAUUAGAAUGUAGAUAAACUAACUUUUCUGUAUAAUUAAAAUGUUAGUUUUAACAAGUAAUGGCAUGCGGUUGGUAUGAAAAUCAUUAACAGCCUGUCCAGCUCUAUUGUACCUCUAAAGUUGUUUUACCUCAGAAAAAAAUGCCAAUGAGAAGUAUAUUGUAGGUGUUAUUUAUGCAGCUCUGUUUAUGGGAUUCUCUGUGUCCUAGUCAUCAUUGAAUUUUUUUAUGUUUUUGGUGGCCAUUUGCGGAUGCUUGUGUGUGACUGUGUACAUUAUUUGUAAGAAAUGGAGGGUAUAUUGGAAAAUAUUCCUCUGUUAUUUUGUUUCUCAAUUCCUCACCACUCUUAUCUGAAUUUUUGGCAGGCAAGAGCUCUGCAAGUGACUCCUGUUCACAUCCGUCAAGUGGUAUUUGGACAACACCCAUCCAGGAGAGCAAGAUUGUUUGUAUAAAUCUGCCCCUAAAUGGCAUGUAAAAACAAUGUUUUGCAUUGGCCAGCUGCAAGGAGGACCAGAAUGUGUGCUGUUGACCAAAGGUUUGGCUUCACAAUGCUGAUUGAAUGGUAACAUCUGGAAGUGAGGCAACAUCAAA